rnacentral:lncRNA from 1 species
AUGAGCAGGCUUCCAAGUGGUGUCAUAGCUGGAGAGGCAGAUAGGCAGAGUGGCAGACAUGGGAUCAAAGUCUGUCACUUUUAUAGCAACAUCAACCUCUCAACUCUCAUUUCCAGAGAUCCUUCCCUAUACCCAGGAAGAAGGAAUGCUACACAGAGAAGCCAGGAAGAAUCUGAACACACAGGCCUUGCUGGGAUACUCCCCUCAGUCUGUUACCACGAGAUCAUAACUUUUGUCCACUCACAUCUUUACAUGGCUGGUCAUUCUUCAUUGAACCUAAGCAUAAAAAUAGACAGUAUUCCCUGGGUCUUUGGGUCUUCAUUUCUGAAGGUUCCUAUAUCAAGUGAAAUUUUGAUUAAAUAAAUUUGUUAUUAUUUUCUCAUGUUAACCUGUCUUUUGUUAUAAGAGUGUUGUCUGUGACCCUUAUGAUGAAUGAGGACUUUCCACCCCUGCAAUACUGUAUGAGAGUAGACAAGAGUUAGUCCUCCUGUCUUCUUCCUCUAUGGCAAGAGCUUUGAACCAUGUGACUUUAAGAUGCCCACUAUUUCUGAAGGGUCUAUGAUUCUCUGACAUCUGACUCAUAAGCCAUGUUUCUCCACAUACACGCCUUUGGAGUAAGAUUUGUAUCUUUGGUCAGAAGAACUUUCAAACAUGUUCUCAUGUUAUCAGAAUCUUUUUUUACCUCUUUAUUACAAUAUGGCCUCCUCCGUGUUCUCCUCUGUGUGUUUGGUACCACACUUUUACAUAAGCUUCACUCCUCCUCCAUGCAGGGGUGACCAAGCUCUGACGGAGUGAGCAGCACUGAUUUAGAAAGUCAGGUGAAAGCCCAUCAGGAGCUGUCACUGCUGAGCCUGGGAUGCCAGACCACAGGGCAACUGCACAGGUGCUCGACUGAAUGGGAACCAAGGUCUGUGACGAGGGCAGCUCCCGUGCUGAGAUUCUAGGCGUCAGCAGCCAGCAGCGCUCACUGUCAGGGAAGAGCACACGGGCUCAAUCCUGGCAGAACCUAAGCUGGUGCUUUCUCAACUCCCAAGGCCAAUGUGGGAAACCGUCCUGCACAAAAUCCCUCUGCAGGUGUUCAGGACAGCUGACAGGGUAGAGGAAGCAAAACCGAAAGGAGGAAUGUGAUCAAGUAGUUUGCUUAAUUGUGUGCAUAACUAUUUGUAUAUUCAUUCAU